rnacentral:tmRNA from 1 species
GGGGGCGUAAAGGUUUCGACGGGGACUUUGAAGCCGGAUAAGCGGGUAGCUUUGCGAAAAGCUUAAAAAUCGCAAACUUUAAAUUUAAACGCUAAUAAUAAUAGAUUAGUAGCUGCCUAACUAAUGGCGGCCGUCGAUGCAGAGAGUACCGCGACUUUGUAAUCGGCGUCACUUAGCGGUGAACGUAGCCUUGGAAAGCUUUGCCCUUGCGCUAUGAAUUAUGAAGCUACCAAAAAAUAAAGUCUGUCAUUAGACGUUAUUUUAAGGGAAUGUAAAAUAAUGACUACACCCGUAGAAAGUCUUGUGAAUAGGUUUUCGGACAGGGGUUCAAUUCCCCUCGCCUCCACCA